GUAAGCGGGGGGCAAGAAGGGGGGGAAGGACGGUGGGGGUGAGCGUGAUCCGGAUUGUUUGGGGGUAAAGGGUCAGUAGGCGGACUUAGAAGUCAGUGGUGUAAGCCUGUCGCGUAACGAUAGAACUGCCAUUGAUACUGUGAGGCGUGAGUAUAUGUGAGGAAGCUGGAAUAAGUAGUGUAGCGGUGAAAGGCAUAGAGAUUACGUAGAACACCAAUGGCGAAGGCAGGUUACCAAGAUAUAACUGACGCUGAGGGACGAAAGCGUGGGUAGCGAACAGGAUUAGAUACCCUGGUAGUC
rnacentral:rRNA from 1 species